AGUGAACGCUGGCGGUAGGCCUAACACAUGCAAGUCGAACGGCAGCACAGUAAGAGCUUGCUCUUACGGGUGGCGAGUGGCGGACGGGUGAGGAAUACAUCGGAAUCUACUUUUUCGUGGGGGAUAACGUAGGGAAACUUACGCUAAUACCGCAUACGACCUACGGGUGAAAGCAGGGGAUCUUCGGACCUUGCGCGAUUGAAUGAGCCGAUGUCGGAUUAGCUAGUUGGCGGGGUAAAGGCCCACCAAGGCGACGAUCCGUAGCUGGUCUGAGAGGAUGAUCAGCCACACUGGAACUGAGACACGGCCCAGACUCCUACGGGAGGCAGCAGUGGGGAAUAUUGGACAAUGGGCGCAAGCCUGAUCCAGCCAUGCCGCGUGGGUGAAGAAGGCCUUCGGGUUGUAAAGCCCUUUUGUUCGGAAAGAAAAGCAGCAGGUUAAUACAGCGCUGUUAUGACGGUACCGAAAGAAUAAGCACCGGCUAACUUCGUG
rnacentral:rRNA from 1 species